ACGUAUGGUGCAAGCGUUAUCCGGAUUUACUGGGUGUAAAGGGAGCGUAGGUGGUUUGGUAAGUCAGAUGUGAAAGCCCGGGGCUCAACCCCGGUACUGCAUUUGAAACUACCAAACUAGAGUGCAGGAGAGGUAAGUGGAAUUCCUAGUGUAGCGGUGAAAUGCGUAGAUAUUAGGAGGAACACCAGUGGCGAAGGCGGCUUACUGGACUGUAACUGACACUGAGGCUCGAAAGCGUGGGGAGCAAACAG
rnacentral:rRNA from 1 species